rnacentral:pre_miRNA from 1 species
CAUAAUCAACGAGAGUUUCAACCUGCCGCGAAGGUCUAUGAGUGGUCUGCUGCUCUUCUUCGUGGAGC